rnacentral:rRNA from 1 species
AUGCCACUGGCCAACGUGACAUGGCGGUACUGCUGCAGUCCCCGACAUCAACGGCAUGAAUGUCUCAUUCCUGAUCCUAAUGUUGUAAACACCGGCAUCACGAAGAGGAUUUGCAGAAUCCUUCGGCUCGGGAUAGUCACACAUGAAGUAGAUACAAUCCUCUUGGUAUCCACUGCAUUCUUCAGCACGCAGGGACUUGGAGCUAUGCUUGCCGACAAAGAUCGCAUGGCCAUCCAAGUCACUUACUGUUCUCCAUCCAACACGUUCGGCGGCGCGCAAAUCUGCCUCAAAAACCACAAGUGCAAAAGUACGGUCAUGCUCCGAAUAGUCAUCACUUGUUGGAUGGGCCAUAGAGCGAAUCCACCGUAUCACCAUCAACAGUCUACCGCCACAUUCAACCAGAUACUGCCUUAUCAUACACGCCUCUCUCGGAAAGGAUUCAGUGUUCCACCUAAGUCCAUCACAGAGUCAAUUAUGCACUCCAUGAAUGAAAUACGAAGGUCCUUGUCUAAUUCAAAUAUGAUCAGUUGGCCAAACCCCGCCAAGACGUACAACUUUUCAUCAAAGAAUGCAACAUCCUCAAGUUCCAGAACUGGAAGCUCAUCGUCUCUGAAAGAGUCAGUGACAAUCGGUGGUUUGCUAAUACAAAGUGUACCGCACUCACUAUCGUCCACGAUCAUUGCAGCAACAAGGGAACAGGGCGACGAGUCAAGGGGAAAGGGCACCACCAACUUGUAG